UACGUAGGGUGCAAGCGUUAAUCGGAAUUACUGGGCGUAAAGCGUGCGCAGGCGGUUUUGUAAGUCAGAUGUGAAAUCCCCGGGCUUAACCUGGGAACUGCGUUUGAAACUACAAGGCUGGAGUGUGGCAGAGGGGGGUGGAAUUCCGCGUGUAGCAGUGAAAUGCGUAGAGAUGCGGAGGAACACCGAUGGCGAAGGCAGCCCCCUGGGCUAGCACUGACGCUCAGGCACGAAAGCGUGGGGAGCAAACAGG
rnacentral:rRNA from 1 species